CGAGUGAAGCGGGAAGAGCUCAAAUUUGUAAUCUGGCACUUUCAGUGUCCGAGUUGUAAUCUCGAGAAGUAUUUUCCGCGCCGGACCGCAUACAAGUCUGUUGGAAUACAGCGUCAUAGUGGUGAGAACCCCGUAACUGAUGCGGAUGCCCGGUGCUUUGUGAUAUACUUUCGAAGAGUCGAGUUGUUUGGGAAUGCAGCUCAAAUUGGGUGGUAAAUUCCAUCUAAAGCUAAAUAUUGGAGCAAGACCGAUAGCGAACAAGUACCGUGAGGGAAAGAUGAAAAGCACUUUGGAAAGAGAGUUAACAGUACGUGAAAUUGUUGGAAGGGAAACGCUUGAAGUCAGACUUGCUAUUCGGAGUUCAGCCGCAAGGUGUAUUCUUCGAUUUGCAGGCCAGCAUCAGUUUUUGGGGGUGGAAAAUCGUGGUUUGAAGGUAGCAGUUUCGGCUGUGUUAUAGCUUUCCACUGGAUUCAUCUUCGGGGACUGAGGAACGCAGUACGCUUUUUGCAAGGCUCUCGAGCUUUUCGUACUUAGG
rnacentral:rRNA from 1 species